rnacentral:rRNA from 1 species
CGGGACCGCACAAGCGGUGGAUGAUGUGGUUUAAUUCGAUGCAACGCGAAAACCUUACCCACCUUUGACAUGUAUGGAAGUUUCCAGAGAUGGAUUCGUGCUCGAAAGAGAGCCAUAACACAGGCGCUGCAUGGCUGUCGUCAGCUCGUGUCGUGAGAUGUUGGGUUAAGUCCCGCAACGAGCGCAACCCUUGUCAUUAGUUGCUACGCAAGGGCACUCUAAUGAGACUGCCGGUGACAAACCGGAGGAAGGUGGGGAUGACGUCAAAUCAUCAUGCCCCUUAUGACCUGGGCUACACACGUGCUACAAUGGUUGGUACAACGAGUUGCGAGUCGGUGACGGCGAGCUAAUCUCUUAAAGCCAAUCUCAGUUCGGAUUGUAGGCUGCAACUCGCCUACAUGAAGUCGGAAUCGCUAGUAAUCGCGGAUCAGCACGCCGCGGUGAAUACGUUCCCGGGCCUU